rnacentral:rRNA from 1 species
UACGUAGGGUGCAAGCGUUGUCCGGAAUUAUUGGGCGUAAAGAGCUCGUAGGUGGCCUGUCGCGUCGGCUGUGAAAACUCGGGGCUCAACUCCGAGCUUGCAGUCGAUACGGGCAGGCUAGAGUUCGGCAGGGGAGACUGGAAUUCCUGGUGUAGCGGUGAAAUGCGCAGAUAUCAGGAGGAACACCGGUGGCGAAGGCGGAUCUCUGGGCCAUUACUGACGCUGAGGAGCGAAAGCGUGGGGAGCGAACAGG